rnacentral:misc_RNA from 1 species
CCGAGUUUUUACAACUCCCAAACCCCAUGUGAACCUUACCAAUCUGUUGCUUCGGCGGGAUCGCCCCGGGCUCGCCCCGGAACCAGGCGCCCGCCGGAGGACCAAACUCUUCUGUUUUUUAGUUGUAUCUUCUGAGUCUUCAUACAAAUGAAUCA